rnacentral:rRNA from 1 species
UACGUAGGGUGCGAGCGUUACUCGGAAUUACUGGGCGUAAAGUGUGCGCAGGUGGCGCUGUAAGUCAGGUGUGAAAUUUCGGAGCUUAACUCCGAAACUGCAUUUGAUACUGCGGUGCUUGAGGACUGGAGAGGAGACUGGAAUUCACGGUGUAGCAGUGAAAUGCGUAGAGAUCGUGAGGAAGACCAGUGGCGAAGGCGGGUCUCUGGACAGUACCUGACACUGAGGCACGAAGGCCAGGGGAGCAAACGGG